GAUGAAGAACGCAGCGAAAUGCGAUAAGUAAUGUGAAUUGCAGAAUUCAGUGAAUCAUCGAAUCUUUGAACGCACAUUGCGCCCGCCAGCACUCUGGCGGGCAUGCCUGUUCGAGCGUCAUUUGUACCCUCAAGCUUUGCUUGGUGUUGGGCGUCUUGUCGUAUUACGACUCGCCUUAAAUACAUUGGCAGCCGGCACUUUGGCCUAGGAGCGCAGCACAUUUUGCGAUCGUAGCCCGUUGUACUGGCGUCCAUCAAGAACAUUUACCACGUUUGACCUCGGAUCAGGUAGGGAUACCCGCUGAACUUAAGCAUAUCAAUAAGCGGAGGA
rnacentral:misc_RNA from 1 species